rnacentral:rRNA from 1 species
CCUACGGGAGGCAGCAGUCGAGAAUCAUUCACAAUGGGGGAAACCCUGAUGGUGCGACGCCGCGUGGGGGAAUGAAGGUCUUCGGAUUGUAAACCCCUGUCAUGUGGGAGCAAAUUAAAAAGAUAGUACCACAAGAGGAAGAGACGGCUAACUCUGUGCCAGCAGCCGCGGUAAUACAGAGGUCUCAAGCGUUGUUCGGAAUCACUGGGCGUAAGGCGUGCGUAGGCUGUUUCGUAAGUCGUGUGUGAAAGGCGCGGGCUCAACCCGCGGACGGCACAUGAUACUGCGAGACUAGAGUAAUGGAGGGGGAACCGGAAUGCUCGGUGUAGCAGUGAAAUGCGUAGAUAUCGUGAGGAACACUCGUGGCGAAGGCGGGUUCCUGGACAUUAACUGACGCUGAGGCACGAAGGCCAGGGGAGCGAAAGGGAUUAGAUACCCUGGUAGUC